rnacentral:rRNA from 1 species
GACGAACGCUGGCGGCGUGCUUAACACAUGCAAGUCGAACGGAAAGGCCCUGCUUUUGUGGGGUGCUCGAGUGGCGAACGGGUGAGUAACACGUGAGUAACCUGCCCUUGACUUUGGGAUAACUUCAGGAAACUGGGGCUAAUACCGGAUAGGAGCUCCUGCUGCAUGGUGGGGGUUGGAAAGUUUCGGCGGUUGGGGAUGGACUCGCGGCUUAUCAGCUUGUUGGUGGGGUAGUGGCUUACCAAGGCUUUGACGGGUAGCCGGCCUGAGAGGGUGACCGGCCACAUUGGGACUGAGAUACGGCCCAGACUCCUACGGGAGGCAGCAGUGGGGAAUAUUGCACAAUGGGCGGAAGCCUGAUGCAGCAACGCCGCGUGCGGGAUGACGGCCUUCGGGUUGUAAACCGCUUUCGCCUGUGACGAAGCGUGAGUGACGGUAAUGGGUAAAGAAGCACCGGCUAACUACGUGCCAGCAGCCGCGGUGAUACGUAGGGUGCGAGCGUUGUCCGGAUUUAUUGGGCGUAAAGGGUUCGUAAGUGGUUGAUCGCGUCGGAAGUGUAAUCUUGGGGCUUAACCCUGAGCGUGCUUUCGAUACGGGUUGACUUGAGGAAGGUAGGGGAGAAUGGAAUUCCUGGUGGAGCGGUGGAAUGCGCAGAUAUCAGGAGGAACACCAGUGGCGAAGGCGGUUCUCUGGGCCUUUCCUGACGCUGAGGAGCGAAAGCGUGGGGAGCGAACAGGCUUAGAUACCCUGGUAGUCCACGCUGUAAACGGUGGGUACUAGGUGUGGGGUCCAUUCCACGGGUUCCGUGCCGUAGCUAACGCUUUAAGUACCCCGCCUGGGGAGUACGGCCGCAAGGCUAAAACUCAAAGGAAUUGACGGGGCCCCGCACAAGCGGCGGAGCAUGCGGAUUAAUUCGAUGCAACGCGUAGAACCUUACCUGGGUUUGACAUGGAUCGGGAGCGCUCAGAGAUGGGUGUGCCUCUUUUGGGGUCGGUUCACAGGUGGUGCAUGGCUGUCGUCAGCUCGUGUCGUGAGAUGUUGGGUUAAGUCCCGCAACGAGCGCAACCCUUGUUCACUGUUGCCAGCACGUUAUGGUGGGGACUCAGUGGAGACCGCCGGGGUCAACUCGGAGGAAGGUGGGGAUGACGUCAAGUCAUCAUGCCCCUUAUGUCCAGGGCUUCACGCAUGCUACAAUGGCUGGUACAGAGAGUGGCGAGCCUGUGAGGGUGAGCGAAUCUCGGAAAGCCGGUCUCAGUUCGGAUUGGGGUCUGCAACUCGACCUCAUGAAGUCGGAGUCGCUAGUAAUCGCAGAUCAGCAACGCUGCGGUGAAUACGUUCCCGGGGCU